rnacentral:lncRNA from 1 species
UAAUUGGGAGUUUAUUUUUGGAUUUGAGUGGCCCAGCAAGACAAAGACUCAUUCUUCUCAACACAUUAGUCCACUCUCCACUUAAAUGCAAGAUUUAAUCUUAGCCGUUGAUUCCCCUCCAAUCUAAUGGCCCAUGUCAAUUCUUACACCCAUAUUUAAACCCAAUUAUAACCAAACCCUAACCUACCUUUUAACUCCUAAUGACUAAAAGGCUAGAACGGCGCCCUCCCCCUUUCAGAGGAUGAAUGAUCCAUCUCUUUUCUCGGAAAAAAAUGAAAAGACACACAUAGAAAUAGCCAGCUUCCGCCGCAUCACCCCACCCUAAGAAGAUUCAUCAUCGACCAUUAAUUUCCUCCACAAAUAAUAUCCAAAAAUCUUGGAAAGUUUUCGUUGAUUCUGAGAAUCUCUUCCUACUAGAGGCAAACCCACCAGCUGAAAUCACAGAGCAAAUAGUUUCUACAGCAGAAAAACACAGAAACCUUCAGACUGUCUUCCUCAAAUAAGAUCUCGUGUGCUACCAUAUUACGCGAUUGAGUUUGCAGUGACUUUUUCGGAUCCAAAUUGAAGUACUUUUUUUCUUCGGGUCAGUGUUUGUUGUCGCAUUAAUUAGUAUGGGUAUAAGCACAUUUUCUGAAUAAAGUUCUUCAUAUUUCUUGUAUGUUAUUUCUGUGUUACAUAUGACUAUGCCAAGCCAUUAAUUGAAUUUAUAUUCGAGCAUUAGUUUAAAAAGCUUCGCCACUCUUUGUACAUUGUUGUUUAGUAGGUGCAAAUAAGAAUACAUAUGGUUUCUAGCAUGAAGUUGAUUGGAGUGAUAGAAGGAAACAUCCAAAUCCAUAACAUCAGUAUAACGGUGUAAGGUGCACACAAGAUCAUAGAAUGGAAUAUACAUUCUCAUCUUUUAAAUUUUUAGAAAAACGUAAUUUUCUUUUACAUUGACGAUUACAGAACAUGCAUAUUAGAAAAGUAUGGACGACACUGCUUUUCCAGCUCGCUGUUCUUGUUAAAUAUAAUUCAACUGUGAAUGGGUAAACGGAUUUUGGUUCAAACCCCGAGUUUGGACCAAGCGGGCCUGGGUCGAUUUUGACUUUUUAAGGAAAAUGAUAGAAAAUCUAUAAAUGAGCAUUGGGUAUGAAUUCUUUAGCAUUUAUUGAUGUUGUUAAAUUAAUUUGGACUAAAUACAAGCAAUUCAAAGACGAAUUCUAAAGGAAAAGCGGUGUUUGAGGCUUGAGUUGGCUGUGGAAGUUCGAGGUAAGUGUUUAGCCUAACCUUAGCUUGAGGGAAUAGGUAUUGUGAUUUAAUUGCUAUGUGCUAGAGUAGUGUAUGAUGUAUAGGUGUGGUGACGAGUAUCUAUAUGUCGUUGUCAAGCAUGCCAGUGAGUCUUAAAUUGUAAUCGUUGUGUUCUUAAUAAAUACUACAAAAUGCCUAAGUUGUUUUCGUGUUGGGCAAGAAUUGUGAUUAUUCUCGUGGUAGUUGUUUAUUGUUGAGUAUUGGUUCUAGUUGAGGUUUCAUUUGUGAAGUUAAAUAUUGGUACAAGUUUGGUUAUAGUUGAUUCCCUUGUCGGGAUGUAUUUAAUUCUUGUUGUUGGUUCCCUUGCCGGGACGUAUUUAAUUCUUGAUGUUGGUUCCCUUGCUGAGAUAUGUUUAUUCUCAUUGUUGAUUCCCUUGUCGGGAUAUUGUUGUUUCCUUAUUGAUCCCUUACCGGGACUCUUUUGUGAUUGGUGUUGAAUUGUAUAUUUGGAUCGGGUUGCACGCCGCAACAAUAUUAUAUGGGAUCGGGUUGCACGCCGCAACAUGGAGUAAUAAGGGAGGACAAGAGGGGUCGGGUUGCACGUCGUAAUAGUGAUAUAUGAUUGGAUCGGGUUGCACGCUGCAACAGUAUUUUAUGAUUUGGAUCAGGUUGCGCGCCGCAACAGUAUUUUAUGAUUUGGAUCAGGUUGCGCGCCGCAACAAUAAAGGAUAAAAGUGGAUAUUGAUUUGUUACUGUUUUCUUAUUCUUUCUGCUGCAAAUUUUAAAUUGUUCUUUAUGCUUUUCUCCUGAGUUACUGUUGGUAAAUGAUAUUCCCCCACAGCAUGUCCCCCUUCCCAUCUUUAACUGCUAGUUUCCUUUAUUAUUACUUGUUAUUUAUAUAUAUGCUUUAACUAUACAAGUUUAGUUGGUAGUCUUAUCCUAGCUUCGUCACCACUUUGCCGAGGUUAGGCUGUACACUUACUAGCACAUGGGGUCGAUUGUGCUGAUACUACACUCUAUACUGUGUGUAGAUCACGGUACUGAAGCAUACGGACCGUAGAGAGAGAUUGCUACCUUCAUUCCAUCAGGAGACCCGAGGUAGUCCUGCAGGCGUCUAUAGGCCCUUGCGUCCCCUUUUAUCUUUAUAUUCUGUUUUCAUUUAUUUUAGAGACAGAUUGUAUCUUUCUUUCCAGAAAACUGUUUGCAGUAUUCGUAGAUUGUCCAUGUUAUUGUAACACCAGUUCUGAAUAGAUAUGUACUUUGUAUUUUUCGUACUUGUAUUUGGCUAAGUUAUCAGAUUUCGUCUUCUGCAUGUCUUUAAUUAUUAUUAAUAUUCUAUUAUUGAUCGCAUGUUGUUUUAAACUGUUAAAAAGGCUAAGUAAAAGGGUUAGUGAAUCUAUAAUACUCAGCUUGCCUAGCUUUCACGAGUAGGCGCCAUCACAACUCCCGAGGGUGGGAAAUCCGGGUCGUGACAAGUUGGUAUCAGAGCUCUAGGUUGCUUAGGUCUCACAAUUCACAGAUAAGCUUGGUAGAGUCUGAGAGAUUGGUAUGAGACAUAUGUGCUUAUCCCUAAAAGCUGCUAAGUUAGGAACAUUUUCACUUCUAUUCAUCUCUGUCGUGCGAUUUGGUUUCUCAAUGCUAAUUGUAUUUCUACUCUGUUCUUUCGCACAUGGCGAGAACACACACUUCUUCAUCCACUGACCAGUAGCCC